CCAAGGAAGGCAGCAGGCGCGCAAAUUACCCACUCCCAGCUCGGGGAGGUAGUGACGAAAAAUAACGAUACGGGACUCAUCCGAGGCCCCGUAAUCGGAAUGAGUACACUUUAAAUCCUUUAACGAGGAUCAAUUGGAGGGCAAGUCUGGUGCCAGCAGCCGCGGUAAUUCCAGCUCCAAUAGCGUAUAUUAAAGUUGUUGCGGUUAAAAAGCUCGUAGUCGAACUUGUGUCCCGCGCCGUCCGGUUCAUCGUUCGCGGUGUUAACUGGCGUUUCGCGGGACGUCCUGCCGGAGGGUCGUUCGCGAGAGCGGCCCGACUGACCCCGCCGCGUUGCUCUUCAUUGAGUGUCGAGGUGGGCCGGCACCUUUACUUUGAACAAACUAAGGUGCUUAAAGCAGGCUGAAAUUUUGCCCGAAUAUUUUAUGCAUGGAAUAAUGAAACAGGACCUCGAUUCUAUUUUGUUGGUUUUCGGAACCUCGAGGUAAUGAUUAACAGGAACGGAUGGGGGCAUUCGUAUUGCGACGUUAGAGGUGAAAUUCUUGGAUCGUCGCAAGACGGACAGAAGCGAAAGCAUUUGCCAAAAACGUUUUCAUUGAUCAAGAACGAAAGUUAGAGGUUCGAAGGCGAUCAGAUACCGCCCUAGUUCUAACCAUAAACUAUGCCAGCUAGCGAUCCGCCGACGUUCCUCCGAUGACUCGGCGGGCAGCUUCCGGGAAACCAAAGCUUUUGGGUUCCGGGGGAAGUAUGGUUGCAAAGCUGAAACUUAAAGGAAUUGACGGAAGGGCACCACCAGGAGUGGAGCCUGCGGCUUAAUUUGACUCAACACGGGAAACCUCACCAGGCCCGGACACCGGAAGGAUUGACAGAUUGAGAGCUCUUUCUUGAUUCGGUGGGUGGUGGUGCAUGGCCGUUCUUAGUUGGUGGAGCGAUUUGUCUGGUUAAUUCCGAUAACGAAC
rnacentral:rRNA from 1 species